UACGGAGGGUGCAAGCGUUAAUCGGAAUUACUGGGCGUAAAGCGUGCGCAGGCGGUUUGUUAAGUCCGUUGUGAAAGCCCCGAGCUCAACUUGGGAAUUGCAGUGGAUACUGGCAGGCUGGAGUACGGUAGAGGAAGGUGGAAUUCCCGGUGUAGCAGUGAAAUGCGUAGAUAUCAAGCGGAACACCGGUGGCGAAGGCGGCCUUCUGGACAGUGACUGACGCUGAGACGCGAAAGCGUGGGGAGCAAACAGG
rnacentral:rRNA from 1 species